rnacentral:rRNA from 1 species
GGUCAAGCGAAUAAGCGCACACGGUGGAUGCCUAGGCGGUCAGAGGCGAUGAAGGACGUGGUAGCCUGCGAAAAGUGUCGGGGAGCUGGCAACAAGCUUUGAUCCGGCAAUAUCCGAAUGGGGAAACCCACUGCUUCGGCAGUAUCCUGCAGUGAAUUCAUAGCUGCUGGAAGCGAACCCGGUGAACUGAAAUAUCUAAGUAACCGGAGGAAAAGAAAUCAACCGAGAUUCCCUAAGUAGUGACGAGCGAACGGGGAGCAGCCCUUAAGCUGGAAUGGCUUUAGAAAAACAAUCUGGAAAGAUUGGCCAUAGAAGGUGAUAGCCCUGUAUUUAAAAGGGCCACUCCAGUGAAGACGAGUAGGGCGGGGCACGUGAAACCCUGUCUGAAUAUGGGGGGACCAUCCUCCAAGGCUAAAUACUCCUGACCGACCGAUAGUGAACCAGUACCGUGAGGGAAAGGCGAAAAGAACCCCGGAGAGGGGAGUGAAAUAGAUCCUGAAACCGUGUGCGUACAAGCAGUAGGAGCUCGCAAGAGUGACUGCGUACCUUUUGUAUAAUGGGUCAGCGACUUACUGUUCGUGGCAAGCUUAACCGUAUAGGGGAGGCGAAGGGAAACCGAGUCUGAUAAGGGCGCAUAGUCGCGGGCAGUAGACCCGAAACCGGGUGAUCUAGUCAUGGCCAGGGUGAAGGUGCCGUAACAGGUACUGGAGGCCCGAACCCACGUCUGUUGCAAAAGACGGGGAUGAGCUGUGAUUAGGAGUGAAAAGCUAAUCGAACCCGGAGAUAGCUGGUUCUCCUCGAAAGCUAUUUAGGUAGCGCCUCGGACGAAUACUACUGGGGGUAGAGCACUGUUAUGGCUAGGGGGUCAUCGCGACUUACCAAACCAUUGCAAACUCCGAAUACCAGUACGUACUAUCCGGGAGACACACGGCGGGUGCUAACGUCCGUCGUGAAAAGGGAAACAACCCAGACCCACAGCUAAGGUCCCAAAUUCACUGCUAAGUGGAAAACGAUGUGGAAAGGCAUAGACAGCCAGGAGGUUGGCUUAGAAGCAGCCACCCUUUAAAGAAAGCGUAAUAGCUCACUGGUCGAGUCGGUCUGCGCGGAAGAUUUAACGGGGCUAAGCAGUGAACCGAAGCUUGGGGUGCAUAAAACUUGUUUUAUGCGCGGUAGAGGAGCGUUCCGUAAGCCUGCGAAGGUGGAUUGAGAAGUCUGCUGGAGGUAUCGGAAGUGCGAAUGCUGACAUGAGUAACGAUAAUGCGGGUGAAAAGCCCGCACGCCGAAAGCCCAAGGUUUCCUUGCGCAACGUUAAUCGACGCAGGGUUAGUCGGUCCCUAAGGCGAGGGCGAAAGCCGUAGUCGAUGGGAAGCAGGUUAAUAUUCCUGCACCUCGCGUGAGUGCGAUGGAGGGACGGAGAAGGUUAGGUGUACCGGGCGUUGGUUGUCCCGGGGAAAGGCGGUAGGUUUGGAUCUUUGGCAAAUCCGGGGUCCUUUAAGACCGAGCACCGAGACGAGCCUUUAUGGCGAAGUCACUGAUACCACGCUUCCAGGAAAAGCUCCUAAGCUUCAGCUCACGAAGACCGUACCGUAAACCGACACAGGUGGGUAGGAUGAGAAUUCUCAGGCGCUUGAGAGAACUCGGGUGAAGGAACUAGGCAACAUGGCACCGUAACUUCGGGAGAAGGUGCACCCUUUUUGGUGGCUCAUGCGAGCUAUAGCUGAAGAGGGUCGCAGAAACCAGGCCGCUGCGACUGUUUAUCAAAAACACAGCACUCUGCAAACACGAAAGUGGACGUAUAGGGUGUGACGCCUGCCCGGUGCUGGAAGGUUAAUUGAUGGGGUCAGCCGCAAGGCGAAGCUCUUGAUCGAAGCCCCAGUAAACGGCGGCCGUAACUAUAACGGUCCUAAGGUAGCGAAAUUCCUUGUCGGGUAAGUUCCGACCUGCACGAAUGGCGUAACGACAGCGGCGCUGUCUCCACCCGAGACUCAGUGAAAUUGAAAUCGCUGUGAAGAUGCAGCGUUCCCGUGGCAAGACGGAAAGACCCCGUGAACCUUUACUAUAGCUUUACACUGAACGUUGAGUUCGUCUGUGUAGGAUAGGUGGGAGGCUAUGAAACUGUGGCGCUAGCUGCAGUGGAGCCAUCCUUGAAAUACCACCCUGUCGUGCUUGACGUUCUAACCUAGAUCCGUUAUCCGGAUCAGGGACCGUGUAUGGUGGGUAGUUUGACUGGGGCGGUCUCCUCCUAAAGAGUAACGGAGGAGCACGAAGGUACGCUCAGCGCGGUCGGACAUCGCGCACUGUGUGCAAAGGCAUAAGCGUGCUUGACUGCAAGAUCGACGGAUCAAGCAGGUACGAAAGUAGGUCUUAGUGAUCCGGUGGUUCUGUAUGGAAGGGCCAUCGCUCAACGGAUAAAAGGUACUCCGGGGAUAACAGGCUGAUACCGCCCAAGAGUUCAUAUCGACGGCGGUGUUUGGCACCUCGAUGUCGGCUCAUCACAUCCUGGGGCUGUAGUCGGUCCCAAGGGUAUGGCUGUUCGCCAUUUAAAGUGGUACGCGAGCUGGGUUCAGAACGUCGUGAGACAGUUCGGUCCCUAUCUGCCAUGGGCGUUGGAAGUUUGAGAGGGGCUGCUCCUAGUACGAGAGGACCGGAGUGGACGAACCUCUGGUGUUCCGGUUGUCACGCCAGUGGCAUUGCCGGGUAGCUAUGUUCGGAAGCGAUAACCGCUGAAAGCAUCUAAGCGGGAAGCGCGCCUCAAGAUGAGACUUCCCGGGGCACAAGCCCCCUAAAGGAACCAUAUAGACUAUGUGGUUGAUAGGUCAGGUGUGUAAGUACAGCAAUGUAUUGAGCUAACUGAUACUAAUGAUCCGUGCGGCUUGACCAU